rnacentral:rRNA from 1 species
ACGGGGGCCCGCACAAGCGGUGGAGCAUGUGGUUUAAUUCGAAGCAACGCGAAGAACCUUACCAGGUCUUGACAUCCCGAUGCUAUUUCUAGAGAUAGAAAGUUACUUCGGUACAUCGGUGACAGGUGGUGCAUGGUUGUCGUCAGCUCGUGUCGUGAGAUGUUGGGUUAAGUCCCGCAACGAGCGCAACCCUAUUGUUAGUUGCCAUCAUUCAGUUGGGCACUCUAGCGAGACUGCCGGUAAUAAACCGGAGGAAGUGGGAUGACGUCAAAUCAUCAUGCCCCUUAUGACCUGGGCUACACACGUGCUACAAUGGUUGGUACAACGAGUUGCGAGUCGGUGACGGCGAGCUAAUCUCUUAAAGCCAAUCUCAGUUCGGAUUGUAGGCUGCAACUCGCCUACAUGAAGUCGGAAUCGCUAGUAAUCGCGGAUCAGCACGCCGCGGUGAAUACGUUCCCGGGCCUU